rnacentral:rRNA from 1 species
AUGCUCUCCGUGUCUAAACCCCUUCUCUCCCCGACCUCCCUUGCUGCCAUGGCUAUUCGGCUGCCGCCGACGCCGCAUGCACCAACCCACUACGCCCCGCCUCACAGGCGGACAUCGCCAUUCCGCCCCGUCAUGCGAGCGGCUCCUUCUUCUUCCACCGCCGCAACGGCCGUCUCAUUGCCGCCAUCUCCCAAGAAGGUUCUUGUGCCCAUUGCCAUGGGCACAGAGGAAAUGGAGGCAGUCAUCCUAGCCGGCGUCCUCAGGCGAGCAGGCGCUGACGUAACGCUGGCCUCUGUGGAGGACGGCCUCGAGAUUGAGGCUUCCUAUGGGACGCGCAUCAUCGCAGACAAGCCCAUUGCAGCGUGUGCAGACCAGGUGUUCGACCUUGUGGCUGUCCCGGGAGGAAUGCCUGGUUCAGUACGGCUGAGAGAUAACGAGAUCCUUCAGAGAAUUAUGGUUAGACAAGCUGAAGAGAAAAGAUUGUAUGGUGCUAUAUGUGCUGCACCAGCUGUUGUUCUCAUGCCCUGGGGUCUUCACAAGGGAAGAAAGAUCACCUGUCACCCGUCCUUCAUAGGAGAUCUUCCAACAUUCCGAGCUGUUGAGUCAAAUGUUCAGGUUUCAGGAGAGCUCACUACUAGUCGUGGUCCUGGGACAGCAUUUCAGUUUGCUUUAUCAUUUGUCGAGCAAUUGUUUGGGCCUCACGCUGUUGAAGAUGUGGACAGUACUUUGAUUGAUGCUGCUCUUGAAAGAAGUACAGAAGUCAACAGAGUUGAAUGGCCUUUUGAUCACAAACCUCAGGUUCUCAUUCCAAUUGCAAAUGGGUCUGAGGAGAUGGAGAUCAUAAUGUUGGUGGAUAUUUUAAGACGGGCAAACAUAAAUGUGGUGUUGGCAUCAGUUGACGAGUCCACAAAUAUUGUUGGGUCUCAAAGAAUGAAGAUUGUUGCUGAUAAAUGCAUAUUGGAUGCUUCUGAUUCAAAAUAUGAUCUAAUCAUUAUUCCUGGGGGACAUGCUGGAGCUGAGCGUCUUCACAGGUCUACCACUCUUAAAAAGCUACUCAAGGAACAGAAGCAAGCAAGCAGGAUGUAUGGUGGGAUCAGUUAUUCUCCAUUGAUAUUGCAGAAGCAAGGUUUACUCGAGGAUAAAACAGUGACUGCUCAUCCUUCCAUAGUCAAUCAGCUCACUUGCCAGGUUAUUGACGGUUCAAAGGUUGUGAUUGACGGAAAUUUGAUUACUGGGAAGGGACUCGGAACAGUCAUGGAUUUUUCCCUGGCCAUUGUAAGAAAAUUCUUUGGCCAUGGACGAGCGAAAAGUGUGGCAAAUGGAAUGGUUUUUGACUACCCCAAGAACAGAAACGCCUAG